GUGAUUGUAAUUCAAUGGUAGAAUGCUUAUUUGUGGCAUAAGAAGUUCUUGGUUCGAUUCCAAGUAAUCACC
rnacentral:ncRNA from 15 species